rnacentral:rRNA from 1 species
AGUGAACGCUGGCGGUAGGCCUAACACAUGCAAGUCGAACGGCAGCACAGUAAGAGCUUGCUCUUACGGGUGGCGAGUGGCGGACGGGUGAGGAAUACAUCGGAAUCUACUUUUUCGUGGGGGAUAACGUAGGGAAACUUACGCUAAUACCGCAUACGACCUACGGGUGAAAGCAGGGGAUCUUCGGACCUUGCGCGAUUGAAUGAGCCGCUGUCGGAUUAGCUAGUUGGCGGGGUAAAGGCCCACCAAGGCGACGAUCCGUAGCUGGUCUGAGAGGAUGAUCAGCCACACGGGAACUGAGACACGGUCCAGACGCCUACGGGAGGCAGCAGUGGGGAAUAUUGGACAAUGGGCGCAAGCCUGAUCCAGCCAUACCGCGUGGGUGAAGAAGGCCUUCGGGUUGUAAAGCCCUUUUGUUGGGAAAGAAAAGCAGCAGGUUAAUACCCCGCUGUUCUGACGGUACCCAAAGAAUAAGCACCGGCUAACUUCGUG